rnacentral:rRNA from 1 species
GAUGAACGCUGGCGGCGUGCCUAAUACAUGCAAGUCGAGCGAACAGACGAGGAGCUUGCUUCUCUGACGUUAGCGGCGGACGGGUGAGUAACACGUGGAUAACCUACCUAUAAGACUGGGAUAACUUCGGGAAACCGUAGCUAAUACCGGAUAAUAUAUUGAACCGCAUGGUUCAAUAGUGAAAGACGGUUUUGCUGUCACUUAUAGAUGGAUCCGCGCUGCAUUAGCUAGUUGGUAAGGUAACGGCUUACCAAGGCAACGAUGCAUAGCCGACCUGAGAGGGUGAUCGGCCACACUGGAACUGAGACACGGUCCAGACUCCUACGGGAGGCAGCAGUAGGGAAUCUUCCGCAAUGGGCGAAAGCCUGACGGAGCAACGCCGCGUGAGUGAUGAAGGUCUUCGGAUCGUAAAACUCUGUUAUUAGGGAAGAACAAAUGUGUAAGUAACUAUGCACGUCUUGACGGUACCUAAUCAGAAAGCCACGGCUAACUACGUG